AGCUGUUUGCCAUGGUAUGAGUGGGAGCAGGAACAGGUCCCCGUAUUGGCAAAAAUGCAAUGAUCGUGAAUCCGUGAUAUGAGUAUCACUCACAGAGCAUUCAAUUUUCUCCAACUAGACACAAUCCUUGCCUAAAAACCUCAAAUGACAGAUCCUGUCAGGCUUUGCGUCAUUUCGCAUAGUGAGUCAUCAGGUAGCCAGGAGCAAAACUCAGAAGUGCCUGACUUCCAGCUCCAAGCUCAGUCCUCGACAUGCCCAUGCUGCUGCCUCUAGGAAGCUCAUUCACAGAUCUGUAGAGAGGUCAAUGAUCUUCUAAGCAAGAAGACUAAACUAACCUCUCCCUCCCUAUGCCCACUGCUUCAAGGAAGAGAAGUCAAGUCACAUGUGCCCUAAAAAUGAGCAUCAAUGUCUGGGAGAAGAAAUGCAGUGGCAAGAAGUGCCACAAUAGCACUGAGUAUCUUACAGAUGUGUAGCAGAAUGAGCGAGAUGAGCAGACCUAGGCAAUCCUGUACAAUCCAGAUUUAAAGAGAGAACCCAAAAAGUAAUUAAAUUUACCUGGUCCAGAAUAUGGGAGUUCGGGAUUUCAUAUCUCAGCCUCUGAGCAACAGAAACAUUAGACUCAGGGGAAUCAAACUUGGU